rfam:Lachnospiraceae bacterium 2_1_46FAA genomic scaffold aclXT-supercont-complete, whole genome shotgun sequence.
CGGGGUGUGGCUCAGCUUGGCUAGAGCGCCUGGUUUGGGACCAGGAGGUCGCAGGUUCGAAUCCUGUCACCCCGA